rnacentral:rRNA from 1 species
UACGUAGGGUGCGAGCGUUAAUCGGAAUUACUGGGCGUAAAGCGUGCGCAGGCGGUUCGUUAAGUCAGAUGUGAAAGCCCCGGGCUCAACCUGGGAACUGCAUUUGAAACUGGCGGGCUUGAGUUUGGGAGAGGGACGCGGAAUUCCAGGUGUAGCGGUGAAAUGCGUAGAUAUCUGGAGGAACACCGGUGGCGAAGGCGGCGUCCUGGACCAAUACUGACACUGAUGAGCGAAAGCCAGGGGAGCAAACGGG